rnacentral:rRNA from 1 species
GACGGAGGAUGCGAGUGUUAUCCGGAAUCACUGGGCGUAAAGCGUCUGUAGGUGGUUAAAUAAGUCAACUGUUAAAUCUUGAGGCUCAACUUCAAAAUCGCAGUCGAAACUAUUAGACUAGAGUAUAGUAGGGGUAAAGGGAAUUUCCAGUGGAGCGGUGAAAUGCGUAGAGAUUGGAAAGAACACCAAUGGCGAAAGCACUUUACUGGGCUAUUACUGACACUGAGAGACGAAAGCUAGGGUAGCAAAUGGG